rnacentral:rRNA from 2 species
ACAAGUGGAAACUCCCAUGUGUAAGCGGGUGGAAUGCGUAGAUAUAUGGAAGAACACCAGUGGCGAAGGCGGCUGUCCUGGUCUGCAACUGACGCUGAGGCUCGAAAGCAUGGGUAGCGAACAGGAUUAGAUACCCUGGUAGUCCAUGCCGUAAACGAUGAGUGCUAGGUGUUGGAGGGUUUCCGCCCUUCAGUGCCGGAGCUAACGCAUUAAGCACUCCGCCUGGGGAGUACGACCGCAAGGUUGAAACUCAAAGGAAUUGACGGGGGCCCGCACAAGCGGUGGAGCAUGUGGUUUAAUUCGAAGCUACGCGAAGAACCUUACCAGGUCUUGACAUCUUGCGCUAACCUAAGAGAUUAGGCGUUCCCUUCGGGGACGCAAUGACAGGUGGUGCA